UUUCGAGGCUCCACUUAGCAAAAAUGAGCUGUUACUUUCCGUUAGCAAAAUUUUUUUUUUACUGUUGAGUUAGCACUUUCCCAAAUUGUCAUGACUUUUGCUCGAUUUGAGUAAAAAUAACCAAUUUACUACUAAUUUUAGCAUUAAUAGUAGCAUGGACUCAAACUUUUAGCCUGUGCCCAAACCGCGUUCUUUAUGUGCUCAAAUUUUAGAAAGGCGACACAGGCGGAAACCUGUUAGGUUAUUCUUGUUUUUAUUUUGCACCGCGCGCCGUGAAAACAUUUUUGUUCCGCUCCUCGAUUUUUCGUCGUUUUAUUUGAAUUUAAAAUUGGAUCAACAGCAGCUCGUUGGACGGAAUGCUGCAGAAGUAGCCAUUCUGCCUCCAGCGGAACGGUUACCGGUUCGGUAAUCAGUGGAAAAAUCCGAACCCCGAAGCAGCAGUAGUGGUUCCGCCGGGUGAUGUGUGUGGUUUACCUGUUUGGUGAUUUCAUUGGUGAAGAUGUAAUCACUGAUCAUAGUGUAAUAGUAAAAGCUUCAAGAACACUUUUCGAAACCCGCGGAGUGAUGCGAACAAAAAUAAAAAAGUAGAUAAAAAAAAAAUCUAAUCUCACUUUUUAAUAUUUGAAAAUGAAAACCCUUCAUCAAAAAUAAUUUAAUUUUGGAUUUUACUCAAAUUCUAGCAAAUGUUAGAAAAAUAAAUUUUGCUAAAAUUUUAGCAAACAAAGGUUUUUGUUUGCUUGAAAAUUAGUAAACAUUCAGUCAGGACACAUUUUGCUAUUUUGCUAAAAUUUUAGUUGAAAAAAAUUGCUAAAUUGAUUGCUAAGUUUUUAGCUGGUCAAAUUUGAGCAAAAUUUUGCUAAUUUUCGGCCUCGAAAAUUUUGU